rnacentral:rRNA from 1 species
GCAAAACGCGAAGAACCUUACCUACUCUUGACAUCCAGAGAACUUAGCAGAGAUGUUUUGGUGCCUUCGGGAACUCUGAGACAGGUGCUGCAUGGCUGUCGUCAGCUCGUGUUGUGAAAUGUUGGGUUAAGUCCCGCAACGAGCGCAACCCUUAUCCUUUGUUGCCAGCGGUCCGGCCGGGAACUCAAAGGAGACUGCCAGUGAUAAACUGGAGGAAGGUGGGGAUGACGUCAAGUCAUCAUGGCCCUUACGAGUAGGGCUACACACGUGCUACAAUGGCGCAUACAAAGAGAAGCGACCUCGCGAGAGCAAGCGGACCUCAUAAAGUGCGUCGUAGUCCGGAUUGGAGUCUGCAACUCGACUGCGUGAAGUCGGAAUCGCUAGUAAUCGCGAAUCAGAAUGUCGCGGUGAAAUACGUU